GAAAUGCGAUAAGUAGUGUGAAUUGCAGAAUUACGUGAAUCAUCGAAUCUUUGAACGCAAAUUGCACUCUCUGGUAUUCCGGGGAGUAUGCCUGUUUGAGGGUCGCUUAAUAAACAUCGAUUUUCAUUGUUUUUUUUUAAAGCGAUGUUUAUCGGAUUUGAGCCGUCUUUUUAUAUAUAUAUAUAUUAUUUAAAAAGUGGCUUAAAAUUGAUUUUUCUGGUAUGAUCGGAAGCGUAUUUUUAUGAUCAAUUUUUGGUUAAGGAAACGCAGACGUACCAAUCAUUCAUAUGAUGUAAUACGUUUGACUAUUGGAUUUAGUUCAUUCGUAUACGAUAUUUUUCAAAUUUUGACCUCAAAUCAGGUAAGAACACCCGCUGAACUUAA
rnacentral:misc_RNA from 1 species